GCAUGUUCGUCAAACAACAUGAUCUCUGUUAUAACUGCCUUGGUUCAAGUCAUUCCGUUCCAAAAUGUCUAAGUAGACAACUUGUUCCCACUGCGGUGGCAAGCACCAUAGCUAUUUACAUUUUGAUAUGAGAAAAAAUUCUUCUUCUCCCCAACGUGAUCCAAUAAAUCCAAACACGUACAAUGAACUAACUAAUUCAAAUAAUAGACCUUCUACUUCACAAAAUCAGGAUAGGGACAACACGCACCCAUCUCAAUCUUCUAUGUCACACGUGUUGUCAGCUAAUACGGUCAACACACCUGUUGUCCUUCUAAGUACCAUACAGGUAUACCUCCUUGCCCCCAGUGGGAAAAGAAUUUAUGUAAAGGCGCUUCUCGAUCAAGCAAGUCAAGUUACAUUUGUUACACAAAAUCUUAUUAAUCAGCUAAGCACUCCCACCUUUAACAAGCAGUUACAGAUCACCGGAGUAAAUCAAACUGUCUCGGUUUCCAAAUCAACGGCUAAUCUGACUAUCUAUUCUUCCACAAAUGAUUCAAGGUUGGACAUUUCUUGUUCCAUUCUACCUAAAAUUACAAACUGUCUGCCACAAUUGCCAAUUAUUGCCAACAAACUAAAAAUUCCACAAGAAAUGGAACUUGCUGACUCUCAAUUCCAUAUCACUUCAGACAUUGAUAUUUUACUCGGUGCUGAUUACUAUGGAGAUAUUAUACUAGGUCAAAUUAUUCGUUUAGGUACUGGUCUACCAAUUCUGCAGAACACUAUAUUCGGUUUUAUCAUCUCUGGCCGCAUUCCUGAAAAUUGUAUAAAAAGCAAGCAUGGUACCUCUCAAUAUGUAAAUAAUUUGGUUACAUGUACGACACUGUCUUCUACUCCAGAAUCACCUGAAUCUCAAACCACUGAUGAAAAUCUCUCUCAGAUUGUUCAAAAAUUCUGGGAAUCCGAAGAAGUCAACCCUCCUAUUUCUGAAUCUGUUGAAAAUCAUCCAUCUGAAUUACUUUUUCUGAAAACUGUUAAGAUUUUGCCUUCAGGUCGAUAUCAAGUUAAUCUAAACUUAAAACACUCUGUUGAUGACCUACACAUGGGAAAUUCCUUUAUCACAGCUAAAAAACGAUUCUUUUAUUUGGAGAAAAAAUUGCAUUCAGACCCUGUCCUGUUGCAAAGCUAUUCUAAAAUUAUUCAAGAUUACCAUUCUCAAGGUUUAGUCUCAGACGUUCCUCUUCAAGUAAGAAAUUUUGACGGAAAAUUCAAUUAUUUUCUGCCUCACUUUCCUAUAAUAAAAACAAGCUCCACCACUCCCGUGAGAAUUGUCUUUGAUCCCAACAACAAGUCCACAUCAGGUAUUUGUUUAAAUCAGGUUCUAGAUAAAGGCUUCACGGUGCAACCAGAACUUUUUGAUAUCUUAAUCACUUUUCGCCACUACAAGUAUAUACUAGCAGCUGACAUUAAGCAUAUGUUUCUGCAAAUUUCCAUAAAUGAACAAGAAACUUUCCUUCUCAACUUUCUAUGGAGGGAUAAACAGGAUGACAAACUUCAGUGUUUUCGUUUCAACCGAUUACCCUUUGGUUUAUCCUCGUCCCCUUUCUUAGCCACUCGUGUAUUAAAACACAUUGCUGAUACUCAUGCAAUUUCACAUCCAUCUGCGGCAAAAACCUUGCUCAACUCUACCUAUAUGGACGAUGUACUAUCUGGUGGUAACAAUUUAGAAGAAAUUGAGACUCUCCACUUUCAGUUAAGUUCCUUGUUGAGUAAGCACGGCUUUCAGCUCCAUAAAUUAAGCUCGAACCAUCCAGAAUUUCUUAAAAAACAUAAGUUGAUUCCAACUCCAGAAAUUAAGUUAAACCUGGCUGGUUCCUCAGACAAGAUAUUAGGUAUUAUUUGGUCACCUGAUCAGGAUACUUUUUCAUUCAAGCCUCCUGUAUGCGAGGUAACAUCGCCAAUUACUAAGAGAAAAAUUCUUAGUUAUGUCUCUCGUUUAUUCGACCCUUUAGGGCUUCUUUCACCAACUCUUGUAUAUUCAAAACUUCUGUUGCAAAGGAUUUGGUCAUUGUCACUAGAUUGGGACACCCCCAUUACCAAUGAUAAAAUUCUUUCUGAUUGGCAAUCUCUUCUAACGAAAUUCCAAUCCAUAAAUCUAACAAAAUUUCCUAGAUGCUUAGUCCUAGAUAAAAAGGUUAUCUUAACUCAGCUUAUUACCUUCUGUGAUGCUUCUCAGGACAUCUACGCUGCCUGCGUGUAUCUCCGAGUCACUUAUGACGACUCUACCGUCUCGGUGAGACUUGUCACAUCCAAGACAAAAAUCGCUCCCCUAAAAAACAAACUAACUAUCCCAAGAUUAGAGCUGUCCGCCAUUCUAUUAGGAAUCCAGUUAACUCACCGCUCACAAGGUAUCUUACAGAAAGAUUUAAAAAUUUCUGAAACUCAUCUCUUCUCGGACAGUACAAUAGCCCUGACCUGGGUAACUACAUCUAAGUUUCUCUACAAUCAGUUUGUACAGUCUCGAGUCAUAAAGAUACGUUCCCUCAGUGAAUCUUAUCAAUUUCACCACGUUGAGUCGAAACAAAAUCCAGCGGAUCUGCCCUCCAGAGCAAAAUCUAUUUGUUCUAAUGCUGAACUUACUGAUCUGUGGCUUCAUGGUCCGAAAUUUCUAAUUAAACCGGAAAUCGAUUACUCACUAUUUCAGAUUAAAAAAUGGAAUGGGGAAUUACCUGAAUUAAGAAAAAAUCAAGUUUCCUUAAAUGUCACUGUUACUGCUCAGUCAAAUGACACCUUGGAUGAUUUAUUUAAUCGUUGUUCAUCUUUCACAAAAAUUCAAAGAUCCCUAGCCUAUGUUCUUAGAUUUGUUUCCAAUCUUAAAGCAAAAUCAAAUCACACUGCUAUAGAUACUGAUGUACUUUCCGUGGAGGAAAUUGAAUUUUCUACUUGCCUUGUUCUCAAGUAUAUUCAAUCCAUUUCUUUCACUAAGGAGAUUCAUGAAUUGUCCAAACGGCUGUCUGUCUCCAAUAAAGCCAUCAGAGCCCUGAAUCCCUUUAUCGAUGAAAAUGAUAAACUGUUACGAGUAGGUGGCAGGUUACGUUUCGCUUCCAUAAGCUAUUCACAAAAGCAUCCAAUUCUCCUUCCUUCUAAGAAUCGUAUUAUUGCUCUGAUGAUUGAACAGCAACACAAAAAGCUGUGCCACGCAGGCGCACAAACCACUUUAUCUCAUAUACGAUUGAAAUACUGGCCCCUUGAUGGUCUUCGACAAACCAAGAAAGUCAUUCAUAAUUGCAUCAAUUGUUUUAGAUUCAUGACUCCUAAUUAUUUUCAACAAAUGGCAGAUGUUCAUCCAGAUCGUGUCUUAUCUAGCCGACCUUUCGAAAGAGUCUCCAUUGACUAUGGUGGAUUUUUUCUUGUCAAAGCCUCGCCUUUAAAAAAUGCUAAACUCUAUAAAGUAUAUAUCGCUUUUUUCAUUUGUAUGACCACCAAAUGUGUUCAUUUAGAACUGGUCACUGGACUGUCUGCUGAUGCAUUUCUUCUUACCCUCAAGAGGUUUAUCGCUAGAAGGUCAACUCCCAGCAUCAUUUGGUCAGACAACGCGACCAACUUCUACGGUGGUCGUAAUCAAUUAAAACAACUUCAUGAAUUUUUUCUAAAUCAGGAUAAUACUCGUCAAAUUCAAGACUUCUGUACCCAGAAUUUUAUUAAAUUUAAGUUUGGCGUUCCUCGUAAUCCCUCUCAAUUCGGACUACAUGAAGUUGGCAUCAAGAGUGCUAAGUACCAUUUAUAUAGGUUGAUUGGGAAUUCCCACUUUACUUUUGAGAUAUUCUAUACAAUUCUCUGUCAAGUUGAAGCUAUCCUUAAUUCUAGACCUAUUACCAAACUCUCUAAUGACGUCAAUGACCUAACAGCUUUGACCCCAGGUCAUUUCUUAGUAGGACAGAGCUUGACUGCACCUCCUGAGCCUACACUUUCUGAUAUACCUCAAAACCGUCUCACUAUUUAUCAACAAGUGAGCCGGAUCCAACAGAAUUUUUGGCAACGGUGGAAAGUGGAUUACUUGAAUCUUCUCCAACACCGACCAAAAUGGACGGUACCUACCAAUCCUGUACAAGUAGGUGAUAUUGUCUUAUUAAAAGACGACAAUACACCUCCUCUACUUUGGCCAUUGGCAAAAGUGACCGAGGUACUCCCUGGUAGGGACAAUCUCAUUCGCACAGUCAGGGUUCAUUCCGCCAACGGCGACUACUUGCGAGCUAUUAGAAAGAUUGCAGUAUUACCAUGCAAUUACUAGUUCAGUAAUUUUUAUUUAAUUUUUUGUCUUUCUAGGUUAGUCGUUUAGGUAAACUCAUUAAUUUUUAUUGAUUUUCAAUCCUUUAUGCGUUAGAUACUAAUUAUAAUAAAUAUGUUACUUAGCUAAAAAAAAAAAAAAAAAAAAAAAAAAAAAAAAAAAAAAAAAAUCACUAGUUGUUACGAGGGUAUCUCAGAAUGUUUCAAUUUUUAUAUUUCACUUUCUAUAUUAUUAACACUACUACAUAACCAGAGGCGUACUCGCUCAUGGCGCCCCCCGGCAAUAUGUUAAAAUACAAAUUUUAACCAGCGUCCAAAAUAAUAAUUUCAGACGCUCCCUCGUAAAAUAACCCCUAAGUGAACCGCAGACUCUAGCGGCGUAUAUAAGUAUUAUUUUUUCUGGCGCGAAGCGUUCCUCCCUUCCCGAAAAGACUUAACCACGUUGCAUCGAUCACUUUCUUCUUCAAUCUCGAGGAGUGAAUAACUAAAAACACUUCUCAUUAACGGGUCCGCGUCAUCCACGUGAAAAAUUUACCGCCAAAAAAAAAAUUCUACCGGCUUUACUGAGCCAAAAGUGCGUAAAAUAGUGCGCGUAUCUAUGUGUUUAUAAAACAGUUUUUCGCAAACCGUAUGUAGGUUACCUCAAACAGCUACACAAGGAUACCUAUCUGGCCAGAUAAGAAAAACAACCAGAAGCAACCACAACGCAGGAUCAUGAUGACAUUCCAAAGAGCAGUUUACACCAUUUAAAAUGGAUGCUACAGAAAGAACUUUUAAAUCAGGAUAUAUUUCUUUUGGGGCCGCCAGGGCCCAGAAGAAGACAUUUAGCUAUGCAGUUUUUAGAAUUGACCAACAGGGAACAUGAAUAUGUAGCACUCAGUAGGGACACUACAGAAUCUGAUUUAAAGCAGAGGAGAGAAAUUGUUCAAGGAACAGCCAACUAUUUUGAUCAG